GACGAACGCUGGCGGCGUGCUUAACACAUGCAAGUCGAACGAAGUGGCGAACGGGUGAGUAACGCGUAAUCAACCUGCCCUUCAGAGGGGGACAACAGUUGGAAACGACUGCUCAUACCGCAUACUGAAGGAGGGGAUUGCGUCUGAUUAGCUAGUUGGAGGGGUAACGGCCCACCAAGGCGAAGUUCAGGAGCCGGGCUGGAGGGAUGGACCGCCAAAAUGGGACUUGGUCACGGCCCAGGCUCCUACGGGAGGCAGCAGUGGGGAAUCUUCCGCAAUGGACGAAAGUCUGACGGAGCAACGGCGCGUGGGUGAUGACGGCCUUCGGGUUGUAGAGCUCUGUUAAUCGGGACGCGGUACCGGAAUAGAAAGCCACGGCUAACUACGUGCCAGCAGCCGCGGUAAUUC
rnacentral:rRNA from 1 species